rnacentral:tRNA from 1 species
GGGCGAUUAACUCAGUGGCUAGAGUGCUACCUUCACACGGUAGAAGUCAGAGGUUCAAAUCCUCUAUCGCCCA